rnacentral:rRNA from 1 species
GGAGGGGCUCGCGUCCCAUUAGAUAGAUGGCGGGGUAACGGCCCACCAUGUCGACGAUGGGUAGCCGAGCUGAGAGGCUGAUCGGCCACACUGGAACUGAGACACGGUCCAGACUCCUACGGGAGGCAGCAGUGGGGAAUAUUGGGCAAUGGGCGCAAGCCUGACCCAGCAACGCCGCGUGAGGGAAGAAGGCUUUCGGGUUGUAAACCUCUGUCCUUGGUGACGAAAAAAAUGACGGUAGCCAAGGAGGAAGCCCCGGCUAACUACGUGCCAGCAGCCGCGGUAAUACGUAGGGGGCGAGCGUUGUCCGGAAUUACUGGGCGUAAAGGGUGCGUAGGUGGCCUUUUAAGUUGGAUGUGAAAUCCCCGGGCUUAACUUGGGUGGUGCAUCUAAUACUGGAGGGCUAGAGUGCAGGAGAGGGAAGCGGAAUUCCUAGUGUAGCGGUGAAAUGCGUAGAUAUUAGGAGGAACACCAGUGGCGAAGGCGGCUUUCUGGACUGUAACUGACACUGAGGCACGAAAGCGUGGGGAGCAAACAGGAUUAGAUACCCUGGUAGUCCACGCGGUAAACGUUAGUACUAGGUGUAGGGGGUAUCAACUCCCCCUGUGCCGGAGCUAACGCAAUAA